CAACUUACCUGUUGCCGGGAUAACCGUGAUACGCGUGGCGGUGUCUCCAGUGGGAGGCUGCACUGCGCUCGUGCUGACCCCUGCCACUACCCCAAACUGGGGCACAUGGGGCAUGCAAUUUUUGGUACAUUCGUGUUAAAAGAAUGGUUCGCCACGAA
rnacentral:snRNA from 1 species